AGAAGGUAUUAAGACCUGCUAACUCUUUAACCUGGCACUAACCCACCAGCCU
rnacentral:tRNA from 1 species